rnacentral:lncRNA from 1 species
UAAUUGUUAUGCAGGGAAAGCUUUGGAGGCUAAAUUAGUAUACCUGAAUGUGACACCCCAAUAAUCCCACAUCGGAUAGAAAUAGUGUUGUCAUUGGGUUUAUAAGAGACCUACACGCUAAUAAUAAUAACUGGGCUUAAGCAUUUUGGGCUGUGGUUGGGCCCAACGAGUUAUUAUUGCUAGUGGGCUGGGUCGUUACAUUUGGUAUCAGAGCCGGUUCACCAGCUGGACAUGUGUGGCGAGUCUCGACUGAGCCAGGGUCUGGAUGACAGGCUGGUUUAUAAGAGAUCUACACGCUAAUAAUAAUAAUUAGGCUUAAGCAUUUUGGGCUGUGGUUGGGCCCAACGAGUAUUAUUGCUAGUGGGUUCGGUCGUUACACUGAAUCUUGGACAGUGGAAUUGACGUUGGGAUCAUACUUCUGUAGCUCAGUAGUGGGAG